GGAGGGCACUGCAUUUGUGGGCAGCCCAACUUAAGGGAAGAUUCAUGGGAAAGGGGCACAAGACGCCAGAGGUGGGCUGCUCUAUAAAGUCCUAGGAUCAAGGCAUUGGUAUCAGCAUGAUGCUGGCCUCAGAGCUCACAUUGCCAAGUCAAUCCUAAGCUAAAAGAACAAAGCUGGAGGCAUCACGCUACCUGACCUCAAACUAUACUACAAGGCUACAGUAACCAAAACAACAUGGUGCUGGUACCAAAACAGAGAUAGAGAUGAAUGGAACAGAACAGAGCCCUCAG
rnacentral:lncRNA from 10 species